rnacentral:rRNA from 1 species
UACGUAGGGUGCAAGCGUUGUCCGGAAUUAUUGGGCGUAAAGAGCUCGUAGGCGGUCUGUCGCGUCUGCUGUGAAAACUCGGGGCUUAACCCCGGGCCUGCAGUGGGUACGGGCAGACUAGAGUGCGGUAGGGGAGACUGGAAUUCCGUGGUGUAGCGGUGAAAUGCGCAGAUAUCAGGAGGAACGACCGUGGCGAAGGCGGGUCUC